GACGAACGCUGGCGGCAUGCCUAAUACAUGCAAGUCGAGCGAAUGAUGAAGAAGCUUGCUUCUUCUGAUUUAGCGGCGGACGGGUGAGUAACACGUGGGCAACCUGCCCUGUAGAUUGGGAUAACUCCGGGAAACCGGGGCUAAUACCGAAUAAUCCAUUUCCUCUCAUGGGGAGAUGUUAAAAGACGGUUUUGGCUGCCACUACAGGAUGGGCCCGCGGCGCAUUAGCUAGUUGGUGAGGUAACGGCUCACCAAGGCGACGAUGCGUAGCCGACCUGAGAGGUUGAACGGCCACAUUGGAACUGAGAAACGGUCCAG
rnacentral:rRNA from 1 species